GGAAACCCAUGGGGUAUGGUAAUAGUGAAAAGGAUGAUUUGAUGCCUUUGGCGUCACUGAAAUGGACAAUCCGCAGCGAAGCCCCUGUUGCUUUAGCAAUAAAGCAUGGGGAACGUUCACAGACUAAGUGGAAAUGGGUGAAGCGUAUAGCUUUGCUUAAGAUAUAGUCGGGCCUCUUGGGAAACCAUGGGGAGAGGAUAGCCCAGCAAUUAUUUGUUGGCUGCCGUGCUUAACCGUUCCGUAGGUGAACCUGCGGAAGGAUCAUUACAUUUAGUAGUUUACUACUUGGGGAGAAUGGAAAAUACCCGCCUUGUCUUUGGGCACUGCGGCGUACGAGUACUUCUCUUUCGUAACCCUUGUCUUUUUGUGCACCCAUGUUUCCUCGGCGGGCUUGCCCGCCGGCUGGACACUUUUAUAACCAUUUUAAUUCUCAAUCAGCGUCUGAAUAAUUAUAAUAAUUACAACUUUCAACAACGGAUCUCUUGGUUCUGGCAUCGAUGAAGAACGCAGCGAAAUGCGAUAAGUAGUGUGAAUUGCAGAAUUCAGUGAAUCAUCGAAUCUUUGAACGCACAUUGCGCCCCUUGGUAUUCCAUGGGGCAUGCUUGUUCGAGCGUCAUUUGUACUCUCAAGCUUUGCUUGGUAUUGGGUGCUUGUCCUCUCCUUUGUAGUGGACUCACCUUAAAUUCAUUGGCAGCCAAUGUAUUGGUCUUGAAGCGCAGCACAUUUUGCGCCUCUAGCUGAUAAUCAUUAGCGUCCAUAAGUAAAUUAACAC
rnacentral:rRNA from 1 species